rnacentral:rRNA from 1 species
UGUCCAGACUCCUACGGGAGGCAGCAGUGAGGAAUAUUGGUCAAUGGGCGAGAGCCUGAACCAGCCAAGUCGCGUGAGGGAUGACUGCCCUAUGGGUUGUAAACCUCUUUUGUAUGGGGGGAAUAAGCUUUACGAGUAGAGUGAUGACAGUACCAUACGAAUAAGCAUCGGCUAACUCCGUGCCAGCAGCCGCGGUAAUACGGAGGAUGCGAGCGUUAUCCGGAUUUAUUGGGUUUAAAGGGUGCGUAGGCGGACAGUCAAGUCAGCGGUAAAAAUGCGGUGCUCAACGCCGUACAGCCAUUGAAACUGGCAGUCUUGAGUGGGCGAGAAGUAUGCGGAAUGCGUGGUGUAGCGGUGAAAUGCAUAGAUAUCACGCAGAACUCCGAUUGCGAAGGCAGCAUACCGGCGCCCUACUGACGCUGAGGCACGAAAGCGUGGGUAUCGAACAGGAUUAGAUACCCUAGUAC